rnacentral:rRNA from 1 species
CCUACGUGAGUCAGCAGUGGGGAAUAUUGCACAAUGGGGGAAACCCUGAUGCAGCGACGCCGCGUGAGCGAAGAAGUAUUUCGGUAUGUAAAGCCCUAUCAGCAGGGAAGAAAAUGACGGUACCUGACUAAGAAGCUCCGGCUAAAUACGUGCCAGCAGCGGCGGUAAUACGUAUGGAGCAAGCGUUAUCCGGAGUUACUGGGUGUAAAGGGAGCGUAGGCGGGAAGGCAAGUCUGGUGUGAAAGGCCAGGGCACAAGCCUGAGACUGCAUUGGAAACUGUUUAACUGGAGUGUCGGAGAGGCAAGUGGAAUUCCUGGUGUAGCGGUGAAAUGCGUAGAUAUUAGGCGGAACACCAGUGGCGAAGGCGGCUUGCUGGACGAUGACUGACGCUGAGGCUCGAAAGCGUGGGGAGCAAACAGGAUUAGAUACCCCUGUAGUC